GGCCCACACUCCCCAAGAGCUACAUGGUUGUGGGGCCGUGUGGAGUGAAGAGGUCAGGAGGAGAACCAAGUCAAGGCAGAAAUGGGAUGAGUUACACCAUCAAACAUACCACAUGAAGCAUCGUCUCAAAUGGAUUUCCAGUGAAUUAAGAAAAACUUGGAUAUAAUAUUUCUUGUAUUUCCACUGAGCUCAUAAAAGCCCAGGUUUUAGUCUGAAAACAUUGCAGAUAGUAAGACAGUUGGAACUGAACUGACUGCCUAAGGAUUGCACCGAGCUCUGCCAGUACGGGCACAGGGUGGAAAAUGCAUGCACUUCAGAGGCUGCUGGCCUAGGGAGUCAGAAACAACUGGACUCAAAUCCCAGCUCCACCUUAAUAGCUAUACAACUUUGGAGAAGUUGUUCAGUCUUUCUGAACCUCAGUUUUCUCAUCUCUAAAAUGGAAUAACAAUUCUUCAGAGUUGUACUAAAUGAGUCAAUAAACGUAAAAGAAUAUAUUAAA
ensembl:lncRNA novel transcript